UACAGGAAUCCUCCACUGGUUUGUUUCACUGCUGGCAAUUUUCUUAAUUCUCUUAUAUGUAAGAACACAGCUCAGAAAAAAUCUGUAAAGGACCUAUGCAUAACUGCUGAGUUUUACAGGUCUCAUCCUCUCAGGAAGUAGAGCAUCUCUAUUGCACUUAAGAAGCUGAGGCAAUAGAGCCCAAAAAUACUGAGACAGCACCAGUGAUCUGAAUCUUGAAAUUUUAUUCUCUGAUUCAACGUGUUACAAACAAACAUAUUCCACCUGUUACAACAAUCUGGCAUAUUACUUCCUUGAUACGUGAUGAUACAAUACCUCUCAGGUUUGCUGAGUAGCAAAGAGAAAUUGAGAGUACUGCUGGAACAGCAAUUUAACUUCCAGGAAAAUUCAGCAGAUCUUUUGAGACUUAAAGCAUGUGAGAAGUCAGGCACUGUCCAAGUGAGUGUGAUAUUCACAACCAUUUUUAAACCCUGAGAUAGAAUUUUAGGGUUUGCAAACAAUAGUAA
rnacentral:lncRNA from 1 species